rnacentral:rRNA from 1 species
AUUGAACGCUGGCGGCAGGCCUAACACAUGCAAGUCGAACGAGCGGCGGACGGGUGAGUAAUGUAUGGGCAACUGCCCGAUGGAGGGGGAUAACUACUGGAAACGGUAGCUAAUACCGCAUACUAUCGGAUGUACCCAUAUGGGAUUAGCUAGUAGGUGGGGUAACGGCUCACCUAGGCGACGAUCCCUAGCUGGUCUGAGAGGAUGACCAGCCACACUGGGACUGAGACACGGUCCAGACUCCUACGGGAGGCAGCAGUGGGGAAUAUUGGACAAUGGGCGCAAGCCUGAUGCAGCCAUGCCGCGUGUAUGAAGAAGGCCUUCGGGUUGUAAAGUACUUUCAGCGGGGAGGCGUUACCCGCAGAAGAAGCACCGGCUAACUCCGUGCCAGCAGCCGCGGUAAUUC